AUAGCAGGUCCUGUUAUUAUAUUCAAAAAUUUGUGUAUUAGCCAAUACACUUAUUAAGCACAUUUAACAUUUUUAAACAAAGCAUCAUGUGUAUAAUGACUUAAAUAGCAAUUUAGUAAACAAAAAAGUGUUUUUUUUCCUUUUACAUUUCUGUAAAAAUAAUGGGACAUAAUUACCCAUUUCGUUCAUGUCGUGUUUUACCUAACCUAACCAUACUUUAAUCAAAAAAUGAUUUUAUGCGAUAAAUUAAGAUUAUGGGAGAAAAGGUUACAGCAAUAAAAGAUAAUACGAGUGAAGUGAGAGUGGUUGUUUCCUUUUGAUUGCAGGAAUGGGAGUUAUGUUAAUUUCAUAAUAAUCUACAAUUGCAGUGUUUUAACCAUGUUUUAACUUUCUCCAGCUGUAUAUGUUCUCAGCAGGGUAUGAAAUGUCGAGCGCGAGCGACACCUAAGUUUACCCCACGUAAGUUUUUAAAUUUUUUAAAUUACCAAAAUCGACAUUACCGACAUACUAGGCGACAUACAUUUUACUGAAACGACAACAGAUGAUGCGACGGCGGUUGCGAUUAUCGGAGGAAUUCCCCAGUAGUUGUGGCGUUAUUGAGCAAUAGUGAGUAGUUUCACAACUUGUAAUAUUUUAAAAUUUUUGUGAAAAGUACUUUUACCUAUCCUGAAAAAAAACCGUGAUGUACAGUCUACACUAUUACGGGGUCAAAUUAAUUUGAAAUAGAUUAUACAGCUCCUGCAGGAGUUAAAGGUCAAGAAGCCGCUUUCCAUUUUCCUGAAGUAACAGCGGUUUCAACGAAAGUGGCAGAACUUCUUCUGGUAGAGGAAUAGAAGCAGACGGAAUUGCCCCAUUAAAAGAUGAAAAAGUACUGCAUCCAGUGAAAACAUAUGACGGGAAAAGAAGAAUUGUUUCAACUGCAGAAAGUACACU